GAACGCUGGCGGCGUGCUAACACAUGCAAGUCGCGCGUGAAAGGACUUCGGUCCGAGUAAAGCGGCGCACGGGUGAGUAACGCGUGGAUGAUCUACCCAUGAGUUGGGAAUAACGGCUGGAAACGGUCGCUAAUACCGAAUACGCUCCGAUUUCAACUUCGGGGGAAAGGUGGCCUCUGCUUGCAAGCUACUGCUCAUGGAUGAGUCCGCGUCCCAUUAGCUAGUUGGUGGGGUAACGGCCCACCAAGGCGACGAUGGGUAGCCGGUCUGAGAGGAUGACCGGCCACACUGGGACUGGAACACGGCCCAGACUCCUACGGGAGGCAGCAGUGGGGAAUAUUGCGCAAUGGGCGAAAGCCUGACGCAGCGACGCCGCGUGAAGGGGAUGAAGGUCCUCGGAUCGUAAACCUCUGUCAGGAGGGAAGAACCGCCACGGUGCUAAUCAGCCGUGGUCUGACGGUACCUCCAAAGGAAGCACCGGCUAACUCCGUGCCAGCCGCAGC
rnacentral:rRNA from 1 species